GAUGAACGCUGGCGGCGUGCCUAAUACAUGCAAGUCGAACGCUGAAGCUUGGUGCUUGCACCGAGCGGAUGAGUUGCGAACGGGUGAGUAACGCGUGGGUAACCUGCCUCUUAGCGGGGGAUAACUAUUGGAAACGAUAGCUAAUACCGCAUAAAAGUCGAUAUCGCAUGAUAUUGAUUUGAAAGGUGCAAGUGCAUCACUAAGAGAUGGACCUGCGUUGUAUUAGCUAGUUGGUGAGGUAACGGCUCACCAAGGCGACGCUACAUAGCCGCCCUGAGAGGGUGAGCGGCCACACUGGGAGUGAGACACGGCCCAGAGGGCCACGGGAGGGAGCCGGAGGGAAUCGUGGGCAAGGGGGGCAACACUGACCGAGAAAGGCCGAGGGAGGGAAGAAGGUUGUCGGAUCGGAAAUCUCGGUUGUAAGGGAAGAACGAGUGUGAGAGUGGAAAGUACACACUGUGACGGUAACGGACCAGAAAGGGACGGCUAACUACGUG
rnacentral:rRNA from 1 species